rnacentral:rRNA from 1 species
GUGAGGAAUAUUGGACAAUGGGCGCAAGCCUGAUCCAGCCAUGCCGCGUGCAGGAAGACGCAUCUAUGGUGCAUAAACUGCUUUUGUACGGGAAGAAACACUCCCUCGUGAGGGAGCUUGACGGUACCGUAAGAAUAAGGAUCGGCUAACUCCGUGCCAGCAGCCGCGGUAAUACGGAGGAUCCAAGCGUUAUCCGGAAUCAUUGGGUUUAAAGGGUCCGUAGGUGGGUUAAUAAGUCAGUGGUGAAAGCCCAUCGCUCAACGAUGGAACGGCCAUUGAUACUGUUAGACUUGAAUUACAAGGAAGUAACUAGAAUAUGUAGUGUAGCGGUGAAAUGCUUAGAUAUUACAUGGAAUACCAAUUGCGAAGGCAGGUUACUACUUGUGGAUUGACGCUGAUGGACGAAAGCGUGGGGAGCGAACAGGAUUAGAAACCCCGGUAGUCC